rnacentral:rRNA from 1 species
GACGAACGCUGGCGGCGUGCUUAACACAUGCAAGUCGAACGGAAUCCAUGGUGUAGCAAUACACCGGAAGAUUUAGUGGCGAACGGGUGAGGAUCACGUGAGAAACGUGCCCCAGACUCUGGGAUAACAAUUGGAAACGAUUGCUAAUACCGGAUGCGUCGGAGUAACGCCWGAUUCACUGACGAAAGAUAUUUCGGUUUGGGAGCGUCUCGCGGCCUAUCAGCUUGUUGGUGGGGUAAUGGCCUACCAAGGCAACGACGGGUAGCUGGUCUGAGAGGAUGAUCAGCCACACUGGGACUGAGACACGGCCCAGACUCCUACGGGAGGCAGCAGUGGGGAAUCUUGCGCAAUGGGCGAAAGCCUGACGCAGCAACGCCGCGUGCGGGAUGAAGGCCUUCGGGCUGUAAACCGCUUUCAGCAGGAACGAAAAUGACGGUACCUGCAGAAGAAGGAGCGGCCAACUACGUGCCAGCAGCCGCGGUGACACGUAGGCUCCAAGCGUUGUCCGGAUUUAUUGGGCGUAAAGAGCUCGUAGGCGGUUGAGUAAGUCGGGUGUGAAAACUCUGGGCUUAACCCGGAGACGCCAUCCGAUACUGCUCUGACUAGAGUUCAGGAGGGGAGUGGGGAAUUCCUAGUGUAGCGGUGAAAUGCGCAGAUAUUAGGAGGAACACCGGUGGCGAAGGCGGCACUCUGGACUGAAACUGACGCUGAGGAGCGAAAGCAUGGGUAGCAAACAGGAUUAGAUACCCUGGUAGUCCAUGCCGUAAACGGUGGGCACUAGGUGUGGGUUCCAACUAACGGGAUCCGCGCCGUCGCUAACGCAUUAAGUGCCCCGCCUNGGGAAGUACGGUCGCAAGAC